rnacentral:rRNA from 1 species
UUAAGCGACUAAGCGUACACGGUGGAUGCCCUGGCAGUCAGAGGCGAUGAAGGACGUGCUAAUCUGCGAAAAGCGUCGGUAAGGUGAUAUGAACCGUUAUAGCCGGCGAUGUCCGAAUGGGGAAACCCAGUGCAAUUCGUUGCACUAUCGUUAACUGAAUACAUAGGUUAACGAGGCGAACCGGGGGAACUGAAACAUCUAAGUACCCCGAGGAAAAGAAAUCAACCGAGAUUCCCCCAGUAGCGGCGAGCGAACGGGGAGCAGCCCAGAGUCUGAAUCAGCUUGUGUGUUAGUGGAACGGUCUGGAAAGUCCGACGGUACAGGGUGAUAGUCCCGUACACCAAAAUGCACAGGCUGUGAACUCGAAGAGUAGGGCGGGACACGUGGUAUCCUGUCUGAAUAUGGGGGGACCAUCCUCCAAGGCUAAAUACUCCUGACUGACCGAUAGUGAACCAGUACCGUGAGGGAAAGGCGAAAAGAACCCCGGCGAGGGGAGUGAAAAAGAACCUGAAACCGUGUACGUACAAGCAGUGGGAGCACCUUCGGGUGUGACUGCGUACCUUUUGUAUAAUGGGUCAGCGACUUAUAUUCUGUAGCAAGGUUAACCGUAUAGGGGAGCCGCAGGGAAACCGAGUCUUAACUGGGCGUUAAGUUGCAGGGUAUAGACCCGAAACCCGGUGAUCUAGCCAUGGGCAGGUUGAAGGUUGGGUAACACUAACUGGAGGACCGAACCGACUAAUGUUGAAAAAUUAGCGGAUGACUUGUGGCUGGGGGUGAAAGGCCAAUCAAACCGGGAGAUAGCUGGUUCUCCCCGAAAGCUAUUUAGGUAGCGCCUCGUGAACUCAUCUUCGGGGGUAGAGCACUGUUUCGGCUAGGGGGUCAUCCCGACUUACCAACCCGAUGCAAACUACGAAUACCGAAGAAUGUUAUCACGGGAGACACACGGCGGGUGCUAACGUCCGUCGUGAAGAGGGAAACAACCCAGACCGCCAGCUAAGGUCCCAAAGUCAUGGUUAAGUGGGAAACGAUGUGGGAAGGCACAGACAGCCAGGAUGUUGGCUUAGAAGCAGCCAUCAUUUAAAGAAAGCGUAAUAGCUCACUGGUCGAGUCGGCCUGCGCGGAAGAUGUAACGGGGCUAAACCAUGCACCGAAGCUGCGGCAGCGACACUAUGUGUUGUUGGGUAGGGGAGCGUUCUGUAAGCCUGCGAAGGUGACCUGUGAGGGUUGCUGGAGGUAUCAGAAGUGCGAAUGCUGACAUAAGUAACGAUAAAGCGGGUGAAAAGCCCGCUCGCCGGAAGACCAAGGGUUCCUGUCCAACGUUAAUCGGGGCAGGGUGAGUCGACCCCUAAGGCGAGGCCGAAAGGCGUAGUCGAUGGGAAACAGGUUAAUAUUCCUGUACUUGGUGUUACUGCGAAGGGGGGACGGAGAAGGCUAUGUUAGCCGGGCGACGGUUGUCCCGGUUUAAGCAUGUAGGCUGGUUAUCCAGGCAAAUCCGGAUAAUCAAGGCUGAGGUGUGAUGACGAGGCACUACGGUGCUGAAGUAACAAAUGCCCUGCUUCCAGGAAAAGCCUCUAAGCAUCAGGUAACAUCAAAUCGUACCCCAAACCGACACAGGUGGUCAGGUAGAGAAUACCAAGGCGCUUGAGAGAACUCGGGUGAAGGAACUAGGCAAAAUGGUGCCGUAACUUCGGGAGAAGGCACGCUGGUGUGUAGGUGAAGUCCCUGCGGAUGGAGCUGAGACCAGUCGAAGAUACCAGCUGGCUGCAACUGUUUAUUAAAAACACAGCACUGUGCAAACACGAAAGUGGACGUAUACGGUGUGACGCCUGCCCGGUGCCGGAAGGUUAAUUGAUGGGGUUAUCCGUAAGGAGAAGCUCUUGAUCGAAGCCCCGGUAAACGGCGGCCGUAACUAUAACGGUCCUAAGGUAGCGAAAUUCCUUGUCGGGUAAGUUCCGACCUGCACGAAUGGCGUAAUGAUGGCCAGGCUGUCUCCACCCGAGACUCAGUGAAAUUGAACUCGCUGUGAAGAUGCAGUGUACCCGCGGCAAGACGGAAAGACCCCGUGAACCUUUACUAUAGCUUGACACUGAACAUUGAGCCUUGAUGUGUAGGAUAGGUGGGAGGCUUUGAAGCGUGGACGCCAGUCUGCGUGGAGCCAACCUUGAAAUACCACCCUUUAAUGUUUGAUGUUCUAACGUUGGCCCCUUACCGGGGUUGCGGACAGUGUCUGGUGGGUAGUUUGACUGGGGCGGUCUCCUCCCAAAGCGUAACGGAGGAGCACGAAGGUUAGCUAAUCCUGGUCGGACAUCAGGAGGUUAGUGCAAUGGCAUAAGCUAGCUUGACUGCGAGCGUGACGGCGCGAGCAGGUGCGAAAGCAGGUCAUAGUGAUCCGGUGGUUCUGAAUGGAAGGGCCAUCGCUCAACGGAUAAAAGGUACUCCGGGGAUAACAGGCUGAUACCGCCCAAGAGUUCAUAUCGACGGCGGUGUUUGGCACCUCGAUGUCGGCUCAUCACAUCCUGGGGCUGAAGUAGGUCCCAAGGGUAUGGCUGUUCGCCAUUUAAAGUGGUACGCGAGCUGGGUUUAGAACGUCGUGAGACAGUUCGGUCCCUAUCUGCCGUGGGCGCUGGAGAAUUGAGGGGGGCUGCUCCUAGUACGAGAGGACCGGAGUGGACGCAUCACUGGUGUUCGGGUUGUCAUGCCAAUGGCACUGCCCGGUAGCUAAAUGCGGAAGAGAUAAGUGCUGAAAGCAUCUAAGCACGAAACUUGCCCCGAGAUGAGUUCUCCCUGAGACUUUAAGUCUCCUGAAGGAACGUUGAAGACGACGACGUUGAUAGGCCGGGUGUGUAAGCGCAGCGAUGCGUUGAGCUAACCGGUACUAAUGAACCGUGAGGCUUAACCU